GCUGUUUAAAUUUUUACUUUUUACACUGUAACUUUUCUCACAAAAAUUCUGCAUCUUAGAUACUAGGUAGGGGACCCCAUCAAGCGGCAAGGAGCAGGGAGCUGAAGUCUCACUGGAAGGUGCUGUGGUGAAGCUGGCAGGAGGGAUAGCUGAAGCGAGUCGGUGUUGAGAAACUUGCGGAAGGAGAGCAAUGACCACUUCUGAACAGAAGAGUGGAGUCGAAAAGGUUCCCCAUUGGGCUGCAAUGCUAUCACCAGCACUAAAAUCAAUUCCUCUAUAUGCGGUCUUGGUCCAUCAUUCUCGGUGGGAUACUCCAUCAUCACUUCAGAGUUUGAUAAAUUGUUUGAGUCUUCUGUGAUGAACUACUGCUGAUUUCUCAUAUAUUAAUAUGGAAAACAGAGUAAAUGAUUAAAACAUGCA